rnacentral:rRNA from 1 species
UACGGAGGGGGCUAGCGUUGUUCGGAAUUACUGGGCGUAAAGCGCACGUAGGCGGCUUUGUAAGUUAGAGGUGAAAGCCCAGAGCUCAACUCUGGAACUGCCUUUAAGACUGCAUCGCUUGAAUCAUGGAGAGGGAAGUGGAAUUCCCGGUGUAGUGGUGAAAUGCGUAGAUAUCGGGAGGAACACCAGUGGCGAAGGCGGGUCUCUGGGCAGUAACUGACGCUGAGGAGCGAAAGCGUGGGGAGCGAACAGG